UUAUAAGAGUGAAUGUUCUACCUCCUAAUGACAACGAUGAUGUUGCAACUUGUAUUGUCAGGCUUCGGUCUACCACAACCCAAACAUAUGGUAUAUCAAGAGAGAAGUAGCAACUUCACCACUGUUUUAUAUGAGACACGCCAUAAUUUGAUUAAUUAUCCUUUAAUUAAACAAAUAGAGGGACAUUUCAUAUUUUAUUUCCUCUGUUUUCUUUCUUUUCUUCGUAGAGAUACAAAUUGGGGAUUGCAAAUCAGCCAUUCAAUUCAAGCAUGGCAAAUGUGGCUAAGGAGUUCUGUAGUGCCACAAGGUAGAGAAAGAAGGGCUCGAUUGGAAUGGCAGUUACACACCAUUUAAAAAUGGUGGUGACUCUUCCAAUGUACAUAUGGCAUAAUUGUAUUGCUAUCUGGACCGUGCAAAUCAAUGACGUAACUGUGGAUAGAUCAUAACAAAACCAUAAUGCCGACGAGAUGGAAAACCAUCUUAUUUUUCAUUUGAAUUUGGAUCACUCACUAUUUUACUUUUAACCAUUCAUUUGUUAGCCAUUGAUUGGAUGAUUAGAAUUGUUUGAUUAGUGUCAUGUUUACAGAUUGGUCCAUGGGUCAUUGAGGAGGAUCCAUGCCUGCCAAACAGUGGACAUCCGAGGCCUUUUUAUGAUGGGUUGCUGACAUUAUCAUUUGCUAGUGACGUUAGAGCCCAUGGGUCUCCAAAUAAUGAAGGAAUAGGUAUUGUAUGUUGGAACAAAAGGUUGCUGAUAUCAGGUAUCUCUAGAGCUGUUCCAUGCAUUUCCAUUUCAUCUCCACCAGGAAAGGCCAACUUUGUUGUAGUGAGGGUGCAAAAAAUAUGCCAAAGAUUGGAUUGAUUUAGGAUGAAUUUCUUUUUCUGCCAGGGGAGGUAUUUUGUAAAUGGGCUCAUAUGAUAGGCAACAUCCUAAGUUUUUAAUGGGAUCAUGCCAGAAUGUAGCAGUCUUGUUACAAGUUUGUUAAUAAAAAAAAUAAGUUUCCUUUCAAAAAAGGAAGAAGAAGAAAAGAAGAUAAACCCAUGCCUAGCCCAUUUCAGGCUGGUCUCGUGUACCAUUGGGUUACCAAGCCCAUGGUGACCCUUACUCUUGACUAAAUUUAAGAAAUUUGUAAUUCUUUUUAAUAAAAUUUUCUUAUUCUUAAAAACAGUAUAAUGGGACAGUAUUUUCUUAGUGAAAUGUGUAAAUUAGCAGCAA